rnacentral:rRNA from 1 species
UUACCUACGGGGGGCAGCAGUGGGGAAUAUUGGACAAUGGGGGAAACCCUGAUCCAGCGACGCCGCGUGAGUGAAGAAGUAUUUCGGUACGUAAAGCUCUAUCAGCAGGAAAGAAAAUGACGGUACCUGACUAAGAAGCCCCGGCUAACUACGUGCCAGCAGCCGCGGUAAUACGUAGGGGGCAAGCGUUAUCCGGAAUUAUUGGGUGUAAAGGGUGCGUAGACGGGAUAACAAGUUGGUUGUGAAACCCCUCGGCUCAACUGAGGAACUGCAACCAAAACUAUUAUUCUUGAGUGCAGGAGAGG